rfam:Asian citrus Psyllid, Diaphorina citri - Florida Strain, whole genome shotgun sequence.
AAUUAGAAAAAAUCAAAUAGACAUUUUAUUCUGGGCCCUGAAAUAAUGUCCAAUACAUCUGGUUCCAGGGAACUAAUGUGAAGAGAGAGAGAGGUUGGGUUUCAGUGGGUCUGGAUGUUCUGGUAUCUGGACAUUAAUCCCACACUCCCAAUUGUACUUAAAGGUUUUUUUUUUGCAACGGGUGUCUUUGGAAGAUUUCCCCUCUCCACAA